CCUCUCAUGGCGUAGGGGUAACGCGCCCUACCUAGAGAUCAGGGAGUCGUGAGUUCGAUUCUCACUGAGAAGA
rnacentral:tRNA from 1 species